rnacentral:rRNA from 1 species
GUGGGGAAUAUUGCACAAUGGGCGCAAGCCUGAUGCAGCAACGCCGCGUGAGGGAUGACGGCCUUCGGGUUGUAAACCUCUUUUAGUAGGGAAGAAGCGAAAGUGACGGUACCUGCAGAAAAAGCACCGGCUAACUACGUGCCAGCAGCCGCGGUAAUACGUAGGGUGCAAGCGUUGUCCGGAAUUAUUGGGCGUAAAGAGCUCGUAGGCGGCUUGUAGCGUCUGCUGUGAAAUCCCGGGGCUCAACCCCGGGCCUGCAGUGGGUACGGGCAGGCUAGAGUGCGGUAGGGGAGAUUGGAAUUCCUGGUGUAGCGGUGGAAUGCGCAGAUAUCAGGAGGAACACCGAUGGCGAAGGCAGAUCUCUGUGCCGCUACUGACGCUGAGGAGCGAAAGCAUGGGGAGCGAACAGGAUUAGAUACCCGUGUAGUCC